AGACUGCCACACAUCUGUUCGACUAACGCCAGUUGAUCUAAACGCCAGUAGAUCUGGAACACAGGUCGUAACCCAGGAUCUUCUGGGCUACGGUGAACAUUUCUUUAACAUUGGGGUAUUUCAAAAGUCCUCUGCCCAUGCCCACAAACUGGCUGCCCUGACCGGGGAAGAGGAGCACGGAGCAGCCGCUGGGGUCUUUUUGGGUCUCCGCUGAGGCGCCGCGGCUGGCUCGCUGUUCGGGGGAGAAGCGGGGGCUUCAGCCGGAGGAGGGUAAUCUCCAGCCGCGGAACCGGGCUUGUUGGUGGACAGCGUCCUGCUCAGAGAGACCAGCGACCUGACCUUCCCUCUGGAAGAUGCUGCCAUCCUGACUGCCACUGAUGCCAACAUGAGCUGUUCCUCAUCCAACGACGUGUCUGCGGAUGAAAUAAGACGCACAGCCCGCCCGGACAAACUGUAAUCACCGAAAGAGUCAACUUUGCUUGAACUCAACUCUGACAUCUGCUCGGCAUGACACCUCACAGGGAGACGCCAUGUUGUUUAUACGGAGUUUAUUCUCGUCUUCUUCCGGUUGACGUUCAGGCUCUUUCACGCUGCAGCGCCACCUCAGGUCAAAGAAGAGAAAAGAAUGAGAGCUAACUUCACUCAGAGAUAUAGAAAGAAAGAGAAAGAAACCAGGCUGUAUUUAAAGACGUCUUGAAAACAAGUUUUAACAAAGUCCUGGAGAAGUGCCCAAUGCUGGAGGACCUCCUGCUUUACCCCUGGCUCAGAUAAACUCCUCUCUGACACAAACACACACGCAUACUGAAUUCACAUCUUGCCAUACAAAUGUGAUACAGUAACCAACUUUCUUUCUUUCAGAAAAAAAGAAAAUUGGGAGAUUCAAAAUUUUCCUCACAGUAAUGUUUGCAUCAGUCUAUCAGAUGAAUCCCCUCCAAGUCCAAUAUUUACAUCAGUUACAGUGAUAAUGCUUGGUGUCUACUUUCAGCCACCGCAGUAGAAUGCCAGGAAUGAAUCUCAUUGAAAUUGUAGUUGCAUUUGCUAUUUAAUUUAAUUGUCAUGGAUGAUACACAGACAACCCAACAGCAAACAGAGGAAAACAAUGGGCUUAAAUACACAGAGGGAUAAAUGAGGGAAUAAGACACAGGAUGAGAGCACAGCUGCGAGAAAUCACAAACAGCAAGACCAUGGGGAAGGAAAACUGAAAACACUAACAUAGUCUAAGGAGCUUAGAAAGAAAACGUCUGGACUUCUUUAAGUUGCUUGAAGACGUUCAAGCAAAGUUUAAGUUCUUUUCAUCCGAGAAGGUGAAACAUCUUCAAGCAACUUCAAGUCCAGACGCUUUCUUUCCAAACUCCUUAGACUACGAUGACCUAGAUGACUGAGAACCUUCACAGACAUGAAAACACUAACAUAGCACACAAGACUAUCAAAGUAAAACAGCAAACAAGAGACUUUUACAAAGACACAGAGUUGACACAGAGACAUGACUGACUGGGGAGAAAUUGGGGAACAUGGAAAGAAGAAUGAC